rnacentral:rRNA from 1 species
UACAACUUUCAACAACGGAUCUCUUGGCUCUCGCAUCGAUGAAGAACGCAGCGAAAUGCGAUAAGUAAUGUGAAUUGCAGAUUUUCAGUGAAUCAUCGAAUCUUUGAACGCACCUUGCGCCCCUUGGUAUUCCGAGGGGCAUGCCUGUUUGAGUGUCAUU